rnacentral:lncRNA from 1 species
UUGGCUUUUCCUACUCCUUGAAGAGAGCCAAAAGAGAAACACCAAAAAAAUUAACCACCUUGACCCUAACUGCAGGAAUAUCACCAACAGCAUGAGCCUUUCACCCAAAUCUUGGGCUCAAAACGUCGCCUAUGUAGUUCAAGGAACCAUCAUUGGCAAAAUGGGAACAAAAGAGACAAUCUUCUUGUUGUUCUUGAUAAGUUGA